rnacentral:tRNA from 1 species
CAGGGAGACAACAAAAUGUAAAUAUUAAUUUUGUCACCUUAGGUCGAUCGGUAUCUCAGAUUCUUAUUUUUUAAGAAUUUCAGUUUCUAAGUUUUUUCUAGGUCACACCCAUCACUUUUUCCUGGGCCAUUAGCUCAGGUGGUUAGAGCGCACCCCUGAUAAGGGUGAGGUCCCUGGUUCAAGUCCAGGAUGGCCCAUAUCUCUAUGUUGGGGGUAUAGCUCAGUUGGUAGAGCGCCUGCUUUGCAAGCAGGAUGUCAGCGGUUCGAGUCCGCUUACCUCCACUGAAUACCACCUCUUACAUAUUUUAAAGAGGGAAAUUGUUAUGAGUCGUGUCCUAAUUUGCUCUGAGCGAAUCUAGCUUCCUAUUUUUAUUGAAUAAAUAAGAUGCUGGACUCAUUGAAUUUUUUUUCAUUGUUUUCAGAGAACCUUGACAACUGCAUAGAUUAUUUUGAAGACAAUAAGCAUCUUUAAUGAUGCAGAUUUAUUAUUUGUGCGAAUGCAUUAAAUAACAAUUUUAUUAAGUUGAUGCUUCAAUUAUUGAAGUUAUU